GGGGGCGAACCAGGCUCGACAUGUGUCGUGAAGUCGGUGCUGCGUGUCCAGGUCCUCGGGUUACCUGGUAAAACACUCGGGAAAAAUCACAACUGCCAACUCCAACUUGGCCCUUGCUGCGUAACGUCUAGUUACGUCCAGCAGUGCCUGCGAUGAAGCCCGCCCGGGGCGGCAUUGCAGGUAUCGCAAAUCCGGGAUAGCCGGCCGGUGCGUCUCCCGGCGGUCGGCGAAGAUUCAGGAGACUCGUUCAACCGUGGGCCGUCCACUGGCCAGCGGUUGGAGACCUCAAUCGGUGGACUACACACGUAGAAGUGCUGACGGUGCGGCGGCAUGGACCGGGGGGCAGUACCCCGCGCCUCCACUG
rnacentral:tmRNA from 1 species